rnacentral:lncRNA from 1 species
UGCUCGUCAGUGUGCUCGGGCUGUGGUCCUGCGCUAGCUGUAGAAGCGUGAGCUGCUGAGCCGUAGUAAAACUGUGAUGCCUGAGACCCGAUGCCGUAUACCUUCCUCUUCUUCUCGCCCCCUACAGCCUCGAGAUAAAGCGCUACCUCGUCAAUUCUUGACUCAGCUUCAGAUUCAUCGGUCUGAGAAGUAACAAUACGCUCCCGAGCUGUAGUAUAGUUCUCCUGAAAACAAAAAAU